rnacentral:rRNA from 1 species
CUACGGGGCGCUCCAGUGAGGAAUCUUCCACAAUGGACGAAAGUCUGAUGGAGCGACACCGCGUGAAGGAUGAAGGCCUAACGGUUGUAAACUUCUUUUCUGAAGGAGCAUAAUGAGAGUACUUCAGGAAUAAGGGACGGCUAAAUACGUGCCAGCAGGCCGCGGUAAUACGUAUGUCCCAAGCGUUACCCGGAAUCACUGGGUGUAAAGGGUUCGUAGGUGGUUUGGAAAGUUGGGUAUGAAAGACCGGGGCUUAACUCCGAGUUUGUGCUCAAAACUAUCAAACUAGAAUUAGGGAGAGGUAAGCGGAAUUCUAAGUGUAGGGGUGCAAUCCGUAGAUACUUAGAGGAACACCAAAAGCGAAGGCAGCUUACUGGGACUAUAUUGACGCUAAAGAACGAAAGCGUGGGUAGCGAAAAGGAUUAGAUACCCUGGUAGUC